GCCUUCGUGGUGUAGUGGUCAGCACGCUCGGUGCGUAUUUGAGAGGACCGUGGUUCGAGUCCCGGCGAGGGCA
rfam:Stegodyphus mimosarum contig81760, whole genome shotgun sequence.